UACAGAGGUCUCAAGCGUUGUUCGGAUUCAUUGGGCGUAAAGGGUGCGUAGGCGGCGCGGUAAGUCGGGUGUGAAAUCUGGAGCUUAACUCCGAAACUGCAUUCGAUACUGCCGUGCUUGAGGACUGGAGAGGAGACUGGAAUUUACGGUGUAAGCGGUGAAAUGCGUAGAUAUCGUAAGGAAGACCAGUGGCGAAGGCGGGUCUCUGGACAGUUCCUGACGCUGAGGCACGAAGGUCAGGGGAGCAAACGGG
rnacentral:rRNA from 1 species